rnacentral:rRNA from 1 species
GGAAGUAAAAGUCGUAACAAGGUUUCCGUAGGUGAACCUGCGGAAGGAUCAUUAUCGAUUCCAUUCUGAAGAGGUAGAGAGACUGUGGCUGGCCGUCUAUAUACCUACCUAUAAGACCGCAUGUGCACGUCCCCUCGCCUUUUCUAUCUACACACACCUGUGCACCUAUUGUAGAUCCCCAUCCCCUUUUGCCUUUGAAAGAGGGAGGGAACCUAUGUUUUUCAUCACAUCACACACAAUUGUAUGUCUAGAAUGUAAUUUCAUUGAUCAUUGAUCAAUGAUAAAAAUAUAAUACAACUUUCAGCAACGGAUCUCUUGGCUCUCGCGUCGAUGAAGAACGCAGCGAAUUGCGAUAAGUAAUGUGAAUUGCAGAUUUUCAGUGAAUCAUCGAAUCUUUGAACGCACCUUGCGCUCCUUGGUAUUCCGAGGAGCAUGCCUGUUUGAGUGUCAUUUUAAUCCUCAACCAUUCUUUCUUCUUUCUUGGAUGGAAAGUAUGGCUUGGAGUUGGGAGUUGCUGGCAGAAACUGAAACUGUCAGCUCUCCUUAAAUGCAUUAGCAAUCGAGUUGGCUAGUCUUUGACGCGCACGGCCUCGGACGUGAUAAUGAUCGUCGUAGCUGGAGCGUCUUUCCUAGACUGUGCACACAUGGUAGAUUUGCUUCUAAUCAGAAGAGAUAAGAGUUAGCUUAGCUACUAGGCAGUCGAACUAUUUAUUUAUUUGACUGGCGAACACAAGCAAAAAAUCUUGAUCUUGAUCUUUGACUUGACCUCAAAUCAGGUAGGACUACCCGCUGAACUUAAGCAUAUCAAUAAGCGGAGGA